GCCUGGGUGGCUCAGUCGGUUGAGCGUCCGACUUCAGCUCGGGUCAUGAUCGAUCUCACAGUCUCUGAGUUCGAGCUCCGGUCGGGCU
rnacentral:tRNA from 1 species